rnacentral:rRNA from 1 species
AGAAUUUGAUCCUGGUUCAGGAUGAAUGCUAGCGGCGUGCCUAAAGUAUGCAAGUCGAACGGUCCACUUCGGUGGACAGUGGCGAACGGCUGAGUAAUACAUAGGAAUCUACCCCCAAGUAAGGGAUAGCCAUGCGAAAGCGUGGGUAAUACCUUAUGUGAUGGCAACAUUAAAGAUUUAUCGCUUGGGGACGAGCCUGUGGCCUAUCAGUUUGUUGGUGGGGUAAAAGCCUACCAAGACUAUGACGGGUACCCGGUCUGAGAGGAUGUACGGGCAGAAGGGCACUGAGAUACGGGCCUUACUCCUACGGGAGGCAGCAAUUGGGAAUCUUGCGCAAUGGACGAAAGUCUGACGCAGCGACGCCGCGUGAAGGAUGAAUGCCUUCGGGUUGUAAACUUCUGCGAAUAGCACCGGCUAACUACGUGCCAGCAGCAGCGGUCAUACGUAGGGUGCAAGCAUUAUCCGGAUUUAUUGGGCGUAAAGAGUUCUGUAGGUGGUGGUGUAAGUCCAAAGUUAAAUCUUCCGGCUCAACCGGAAACUCGCUUUGGAUACUGCGCCACUGGAGUCAGCUAGGGGACAGUAGAAUCUAUGGUGUAGCAGUGAAAUGCGUUGAUAUCAUAGAGAAUACCAAGGGGGAAGCCAACUGUCUGGGGCUGUACUGACACUAAGAGACGAAAGCGUGGGGAGCGAAACGGAUUAGAUACCCGUGUAGUCCACGCCGUAAACGAUGCCUGCUAGAUACCCCGCCUUGCGUGGGGCGUCGAAGCUAACGCGUUAAGCAGGCCGCCUGGGGAGUACGAUCGCAAGAUUAAAACUCAAACGGAAUUGGCGGGGACCCGCACAAGCGGUGGAGCAUGCUCUUUAAUUGGCUGUUAACCCAAGAACCUUACCCAGACUUGACAUGGUUUCCUUAUGCUCAACCCGAAAGGGAUGAGUUGUUGCUUGUCAACAGGGAUUUCACAGGUGUUGCAUGGCUGUCGUCAGCUCGUACCGUGAGGCGUGCCCUUAAGUGGGUUAACGAGCGCAACCCUUACCGUUAGUUGCAUCACUCUAGCGGAACUGCCUCGGUAACGGGGAGGAAGGUGGGGACGACGUCAAGUCGGUAUUGCCUUUAUGUCUGGGGCGAGAAGCAUGCUACAAUGGCGCGCACAAAGAGUUGCGAUGUGGUGACACGGAGCUAAUCUAAAAAACGCGUCUCAGUUCGGAUUGAAGUCUGCAAUUCGACUUCAUGAAGUUGGAAUCGCUAGUAAUCGUAGGUCAGCUAUACUACGGUGAAUACGUUCUCGGGUCUUGCACACACUGCCCAUCCGCCAGCAAAGCUGGGGCCAUCCUAAGUUCCACUUUUAGUGGACCCACGGUGGAAUCAGUGAUGAGGGCGAAGUUGUAACAAGGUA